rnacentral:rRNA from 1 species
AUUGAACGCUGGCGGCAGGCCUAACACAUGCAAGUCGAACGAGUGGCGGACGGGUGAGUAAUGUCUGGGAAACUGCCUGAUGGAGGGGGAUAACUACUGGAAACGGUAGCUAAUAACGCAUACCAUCGGAUGUGCCCAGAUGGGAUUAGCUAGUAGGUGGGGUAAAGGCUAACCUAGGCGACGAUCCCUAGCUGGUCUGAGAGGAUGACCAGCCAAACUGGAACUUGGACACGCGCCAGACGCCUACGGGAGGCAGCAGUGGGGAAUAUUGCACAAUGGGCGCAAGCCUGAUUCAGCCAUGCCGCUUGUAUGAAGAAGGCCUUCGGGUUUGAAAGUACUUUCAGCGGGGAGGCGUUACCCGCAGAAGAAGCACCGGCUAACUCCGUGCCAGCAGCCGCGGUAAUAC